rnacentral:misc_RNA from 1 species
AGUUUAUACCCCCUUCUGAUAGUUCCCCUCGUUCCGUCUACCCUGUAGUCUGUGGACCCUUGUGAUCCUCUACCCUAGCUAGUCACAGGGCGCCCGGACAGACAGACAGAUGUCAAAGAAGCAAAAAGUGGCUCUCGCUGCCACUGGUAUGGCCGGGGCGAGCUUGGUGGCCUGGAAAGCCUACUUUCCUUGGAUAGGUGAUGACAUCAAAACGAUUCGAGCGCUAUCAAAGGCUCUCAAAAUGAGUAAAAAAAAUAUCAUGGAAGGGCGGUCAGCUUUGAAGAUGUUGGAGGAAAAUGUAGCCCGCUUCCCCAAAAAGACAUACAUUAUCUUUGAGGACCGCCACUUUUCCUAUGAGUACGUGGAUGCCAUGGCCAACAGGGUUGCCAAUCUAGCCAUGACAUGGGGCCUCCCUCUUCACACACCCGUGGCCAUGAUGAUGGAAAACGAACCGGCCUUCCUAUGGACGUUUUUUGGCCGGACUGUCGGCAGUAUUCAUCAAUUUCCAUCUGAAAGGGAAUCCUCUUGUUCAUUCCUUAAAAGUCAGCGAGGCACCUGUACUCAUUAUUGGUCAAGGUGAUGAACAUUUACAAUCCCUCCAAGAGAUAAUGAGCGAAUUGCCGGACAUGAAGAAGUAUGCCAUUGGGAGUCAACAGGCCGAUCUCCCCCCAGAAUUUAUCGCAAUGGAUGAAGUCCUACUCCGCACUCUACCUGUGCCACUGUCCCCAGCUUGUCGGGGGGAGCAAAGUCUGCUUGAUCCUGUGUGUUAUAUAUACACGUCUGGUACAACAGGACUACCCAAACCCGCUGUUAUCAAUCAGGCAAAAGCAAUAUCUGCAUCCGCAUUCUGGCACAUCUUUGAUUUUAAUGAGAACGACAUAGCAUAUGCUGUAACCCCUCUUUACCACAGUGCCAGUUUCUUAAUAAGUGUGUACAACACCUUAGAUCAAGGAGCCACAGUAGUUUUACGGCGGAAGUUCUCCGCACGCCAUUACUGGGAAGAUGUACGGAAACAUAAAGUGACUGUCAUUCAGUAUAUUGGGGAGCUGUGUCGUUAUUUGCUACGUGUUCCCAAGAGCGACCUAGACGGUGUCCAUAAUGUGCGCGUUGCAUUUGGAAACGGACUGAGGGUGGAUAUUUGGGAAGAAUUCAAAAAUAGGUUUAAAAUUCCCCGCAUUGUGGAAUUUUUUGGUGCGACAGAAGGCACGGGUGUUUUCACCAAUAUUACAAAUACCGUUGGUGCAAUCGGCCGGAUGUCACCUUUAAUGAGGGCAACUAUAUACCGAGAUGUUAAUUUUCAAAUCCAUUUUCUUAAAUUCGACAAUAGUGCUGAGAAACCAGUUCGGGAUAAAAAUGGACUAUGCAUUCCCAUUAAACCAGGGGAGGUUGGCCUUGUAAUAUCCUCAGUUAACGAGCAGCUGUACACCGGCUUCUACAAGGGCCCUAAAGAGAUGAGCGAAAAGAAGUUCGUGAGGGACGUGUUUAAAAAGGGGGACCGAUUCUUUUCCUUUGGAGACCUGGUAUACCUGGACAAAGACUACAACAUAUACUUCAGAGACAGGAUUGGAGAUACGUUUAGGUGGAAGAGUGAAAACGUCUCGACGUCAGAGGUUGCCAACGUCAUAAGUCGGAUUCCCUUCAUACGUGACGUCAACGUUUAUGGCGUGACUAUCCCUGGCGAAGAUGGACGUGCAGGAAUGGCAGCCAUUAUGCUGAAACACGAAGAUAAUCAGAUCACGGACGACAAACUACGUAAGAUCUACUCUGUAUGUCAGAAGGAACUUCCGGUUUACGCUCGUCCCUUGUUUAUUCGAUUCAUGUCAGAGUUUAUCAUUACGCAAACAAUGAAGAAUCGGAAAGUGGAACUUGUGGAGGAAGGGUAUGACCUUCAGAAGGUCGAUGACCCUAUUUAUUUUUACGACUCAAAAAAUAAAACAUAUUCCCCGUUGACAAGGACAAAUUAUGAGGGUGUUCUUUCCUCCAAAUUGUGAAAUGUCACUCAAUACAUGUAUGUAGAUAUUUGAAUUGACGCUUAUUGUAGACAGAACAGAUACCGGUAUGCCAAAAUAAAGCAAUGUGAAUAAAAAGUGAUAAAUUGCAAAAUUUUUCAUCUGUGUAUAUGAAAAUGUGAUAUUGAUUUUUUUCCGGUGCGUGCAUGGCUUUUAUGUUUCCAUGUCAUUUUUAUUGUGAAAGUAUAAUGGUUUGUAAUAUUUGAAAUUUAUAUCAGUUAAUAAAUGUACAAUGCAUCU